GACCGGCGCACGGGUGAGUAACACGUAUGCAACCUGCCCGCCACAGGGGGAUAAGCGGAAGAAAUUCCGUCUAAUACCGCGUGACGCGGCGCCGGGGCAUCCCGGUGCCGCCAAAGGGAUUACCGGUGGCGGAUGGGCAUGCGGCGCAUUAGCUAGUCGGCGGGGUAACGGCCCACCGAGGCGACGAUGCGUAGGGGUUCUGAGAGGAAGGUCCCCCACACUGGUACUGAGACACGGACCAGACUCCUACGGGAGGCAGCAGUGAGGAAUAUUGGUCAAUGGGCGCGAGCCUGAACCAGCCAAGUCGCGUGAGGGAUGACGGUCCUACGGAUUGUAAACCUCUUUUGCCGGGGAGCAAGCGUGCGUUCGUGAACGCACGUCGAGAGUACCCGGAGAAAAAGCAUCGGCUAACUCCGUGCCAGCAGCCGCGGUAAUACGGAGGAUGCGAGCGUUAUCCGGAUUUAUUGGGUUUAAAGGGUGCGUAGGCGGGAUGCCAAGUCAGCGGUAAAAAUGCGGUGCUCAACGCCGUCGAGCCGUUGAAACUGGCGUUCUUGAGUGGGCGAGAAGUAUGCGGAAUGCGUGGUGUAGCGGUGAAAUGCAUAGAUAUCACGCAGAACUCCGAUUGCGAAGGCAGCAUACCGGCGCCCUACUGACGCUGAGGCACGAAAGCGUGGGUAUCGAACAGGAUUAGAUACCCUGGUAGUCCACGCAGUAAACGAUGAAUGCUAACUGUCCGGCGCGAAUGAGCGCUGGGCGGUACAGCGAAAGCGUUAAGCA
rnacentral:rRNA from 1 species